UACAGAGGUCUCAAGCGUUGUUCGGAUUCAUUGGGCGUAAAGGGUGCGUAGGCGGCAGGGCAAGUCAGGUGUGAAAUCCCGGGGCUCAACCCCGGAACUGCACUUGAUACUGCUUUGCUAGAGUACUGGAGAGGAGACUGGAAUUUACGGUGUAGCAGUGAAAUGCGUAGAUAUCGUAAGGAAGACCAGUGGCGAAGGCGAGUCUCUGGACAGUUACUGACGCUGAGGCACGAAGGCCAGGGGAGCAAACGGG
rnacentral:rRNA from 1 species